GACGAACGCUGGCGGCGUGCCUAAUACAUGCAAGUCGAACGCAGUUGCGAACGGGUGAGUCACGCGUAUGUACCUGCCUCAUGGGGGGGGGUAACUAUUGGAACCGAUAGCUAAUACCGCAUACUGUGAGCUGGACCUGCGUUGUAUUAGCUAGUUGGUUAGGUAAAGGCUCACCAAGGCGUCGAUACAUAGCCGACUUGGGAGGGGGAGCGGGCAAACUGGUACUGAGGAAAGGCCCAGACCCCGACGGGAGGCAGCAGGAGGGAAUCUUUGGCAAUGGACGGAAGUCUGACCGAGCCACGGCGCGGGAGGGAAGAAGGUUUUCGGAUCGUAAAGGUCUGUUGUGUGAGAAGCGGUACCUAACCAGAAAGGGACGGCUAACUACGUGCCAGCAGCCGCGGUAAUAC
rnacentral:rRNA from 1 species